CUGCACUGUACUCAACCCACCAUCCCCGCAACCCUCGCGUUGUACUUCAAUUCAUCACGCGCGAGUCUGUGCAAAAAGCAAAGGUAAACGUGUGUGUGCGUGUGUGUGUGCCCGUCUCAACCAACCUCCUCAAACGCCCUCCCACCACACGCUUUCCCAUGCCGACACACCUGCCCAGCUGGGUCCCCGCUCAUCAAACACCUCUCACCGCGCACGCCACACCGCCCUGUGGCCGUGUACACCUGCACUCUGCGCCCCACACCAGCCCCGCCCCAAACACGUGCCAAAACCCAAACAACAACCCGCCAUGCAUGCAGGGCGCAACAAGCCCAUGCGCCCGCUCGCGCCCAUCCGCUCACUUGCCCGAACCUGAGGCCGCCGCGCCCUGUGGGUGCGGGCUGGCUGGCCCCAGCGGCACCAGGUCUGGGUAGUCGGCCUCCAUCUGCGGGAUGGUGAGGUAGUCGGACUCGGAGCGCGGCGUCCACAGCAGCUCCACGGCCAUGAUGCGGUCGGAGGACAGGCCCGUCACCUGCAGGUGGUGGUGGGUUGGUUUGGGGUGUUGGUUGGUUUGGGGCGGGGCUGGUGUGGGGCGCAGAGUGCAGGUGUACACGGCCACAGGGCGGUGUGGCGUGCGCGGUGAGAGGUGUUUGAUGAGCGGGGACCCAGCUGGGCAGGUGUGUCGGCAUGGGAAAGCGUGUGGUGGGAGGGCGUUUGAGGAGGUUGGUUGAGACGGGCACACACACACG
rnacentral:lncRNA from 1 species